rnacentral:rRNA from 1 species
UACAGAGGUCCCAAGCGUUGUUCGGAUUCACUGGGCGUAAAGGGUGCGUAGGUGGCGGGGUAAGUUUGAUGUGAAAUCUCCGGGCUUAACCCGGAAACUGCAUUGAAUACUAUUCUGCUCGAGGUUUGGAGGGGGGACUGGAAUUCUCGGUGUAGCAGUGAAAUGCGUAGAUAAUCGAGAGGAACACCAGUGGCGAAGGCGAGUCCCUGGACAACACCUGACACUGAGGCACGAAAGCUAGGGGAGCAAACAGG